rnacentral:rRNA from 1 species
AUUGAACGCUGGCGGCAGGCCUAACACAUGCAAGUCGAGCGAGCGGCGGACGGGUGAGUAAUGCCUGGGAAUUGCCCAGUAGAGGGGGAUAACAGUUGGAAACGACUGCUAAUACCGCAUACGAUUGGAUUGCCCAUGUGGGAUUAGCUAGUGGGUGAGGUAAUGGCUCACCAAGGCGACGAUCCCUAGCUGGUCUGAGAGGAUGAUCAGCCACACUGGGACUGAGACACGGUCCAGACUCCUACGGGAGGCAGCAGUGGGGAAUAUUGCACAAUGGGGGAAAGCCUGAUGCAGCCAUGCCGAGUGUAUGAAGAAGGCCUUCGGGUUGUAAAGCACUGUCAGCGGGGAGGCGUUACUCGCAGAAGAAGCACCGGCUAACUCCGUGCCAGCAGCCGCGGUAAUAC